rnacentral:rRNA from 1 species
UACGUAGGGACCGAGCGUUGUCCGGAAUCAUUGGGCGUAAAGAGCGUGUAGGCGGCUAUUUAAGUCCUGCGUGAAAUCCUGCGGCUCAACCGCAGACGGUCGUGGGAAACUGGAUGGCUAGAGUGCGGGAGAGGAGAGUGGAAUUCCCGGUGUAGCGGUGAAAUGCGCAGAUAUCGGGAAGAACACCGGUGGCGAAGGCGGCAACCUGGUCCUUUACUGACGCUGAGGCGCGAAAGCGUGGGGAGCAAACAGG